UGAAUUUUCAAGUAAAUUGAGUAAUGAAGAUAAACCAAAAAGUGUGGGGCUGAAUUUUCAACUAAACUGAAUAAUGAAAAUUAAAACAGCCACAGCAGCCAAAAAGUGUGGGGCUGAAUUUUCAAGUAAAUAGAAUUCCCAAUUUUCAAUUUACUUGAAAAUUUAGCCCCACACUUUUUGGAAUUUCCAUCAUAGGAAUGGGAAUUGCCAUUAUAGAAUGGGAAUUACCACCAUGGAAUGGGAAUUGUCACCAUGGGAAUGGGAAUUACCCCCAUGGAAAUGGGAAUUACCAUGAUAGGGGUGGGAAUUACCCCCAUGGGAAUGGGAAUUACCCCCAUGGAAUGGGAAUUACCCCCAUGGAAUGGGAAUUAUCACUAUGGAAAUGGGAAUUACUCCCAUGGGAAUGGGAAUUGUCACCAUGGGAAUGGGAAUUGUCACCAUGGGAAUGGGAAUUACCCCCAUGGGAAUGGGAAUUACCACCAUGGAAAUGGGAAUUAUCACUAUGGAAAUGGGAAUUACCCCCAUGGGAAUGGGAAUUGUCACCAUGGGAAUGGGAAUUAUCACUAUGGAAAUGGGAAUUACUCCCAUGGGAAUGGGAAUUACCACCAUGGAAUGGGAAUUACCCCCAUGGAAAUGGGAAUUACCCCCAUGGAAAUGGGAAUUACUCCCAUGGAAUGGGAAUUACCCCCAUGGAAUGGGAAUUACCCCCAUGGAAUGGGAAUUACCCCCAUGGAAUGGGAAUUGCCCCCAUGGAAAUGGGAAUUACUCCCAUGGAAUGGGAAUUGUCACCGUGGGAAUGGGAAUUGGCACCAUGGGAAUGGGAAUUGUCACCAUGGGAACUGUCACCAUGGGAAUGGGAAUUGCCACCAUGGGAACUGUCACCAUGGGAAGGGGAAUUGUCACCAUGGGAAUUGCCAUCAUGGGAAUGGGAAUUGUCACCAUGGGAAUGGGAAUUGUCACCAUGGGAAUUGUCACCAUGGGAACUGUCACCAUGGGAAUGGGAAUUGUCACCAUGGGAAUUGUCACCAUGGAAUGGGAAUUGUCACCAUGGGAAUUGUCACCAUGGGAAUUGUCACCAUGGGAAUGGGAAUUGUCACCAUGGGAAUGGGAAUUCCAUCACAGAAUGGGAAUUCCAUCACAGAAUGGGAAUUCCAUCACUCACUGGGCUGUUCCUCCAGAACCCCCCAAACGAGCCAUUGCCAUGGAUGUGCCAGUGAAGCAGAAAGGCCCCAGCCUCUGGAGCCAGCUCAGAGCCGGUGUCAAUAACUCACAUCAGAGAAAAGAGCAAACUGCAGCAAUUGCUGUUAAAAUGAGCUGACUUCCCCUGCAAGCACAGCUGAGGGUGAGGAGCCUCAAGGACAGCACGGAUGGUGGCACUGCUCAAUAAUCCACGAGGCACCAUCUGGUGGCCCUCACUCUGCUGGAACGUGUGCCAGCUCCUCUGCUCCGGGUGGGAACACUGAGGGAUCAGCACUGAGAGUUCCAGGAUGCAAAGAGUGAGGGAUCUCCAUGCCCAGCUCAGCCCAGGACAGAUUUCACCUCCUUAGCAGCCUCCCUCUAAAAGCAGAGCCAUGAUCUCACGCUCUCUGAGAGCAUCCAGCACAAAGUUCCUGUGCCUGCAUGGAGCUGAGGUCAUUUUCUCAGAUUUUUGAUGAUGUUCAUGUCACAAGAUACAGAGAAACAGAGCUUUAAAAAUGAGUUCUGCAUCAAACAAGAACCCAACUGCCACCUCUAAAAAUUAAUCUGAUUACAGGGAGUUGUGGUUUUGCAUGGGAGACAUUUACCCACCUUUUUAAAAUAAAGUAUCAAAGGAAUGGAUUUCUGAGCA
ensembl:lncRNA